GUGCUUGCUUCGGCAGCACCUACACUAAAAUUGGGACGAUACACAGAAGACCAACGUGGCCGCCAGGCAAGAAUGACAUGCAAAAGUGGCCAGUGUUUAGUAUUUUU
ensembl:snRNA U6 U6 spliceosomal RNA